GACGUAGGGCGCGAGCGUUGUCCGGAUUUAUUGGGCGUAAAGAGCUCGUAGGCGGCUUGUUACGUCGACUGUGAAAACCCGCGGCUCAACUGCGGGCCUGCAGUCGAUACGGGCAGGCUAGAGUUCGGUAGGGGAGACUGGAAUUCCUGGUGUAGCGGUGAAAUGCGCAGAUAUCAGGAGGAACACCGGUGGCGAAGGCGGGUCUCUGGGCCGAUACUGACGCUGAGGAGCGAAAGCGUGGAGAGCGAACAGG
rnacentral:rRNA from 1 species